rnacentral:rRNA from 1 species
GAUGAACGUUGGCGGUACGCCUAAUACAUGCAAGUCGAACGGAGAUUGUAGCAAUACGGUCUUAGUGGCGAACGGGUGAGUAACGCGUUGGUGAUCUGCCUUGAAGUGUGGAAUAACGGUUCGAAAGAACCGCUAAUACCGCAUAGUCUCUCUUUGUUUAGAAAUUAGAGAGUAAAGGAUUUAUCCGCUUCAAGAGGAGCCUGCGUCCCAUCAGCUAGUUGGUAGGGUAAAAGCCUACCAAGGCUAUGACGGGUAGGGGACCUGAGAGGGUGACCCCCCACAAUGGAACUGAAACACGGUCCAUACACCUACGGGUGGCAG